rnacentral:rRNA from 1 species
UACGUAGGGGGGCAAGCGUUAUCCGGAUUUACUGGGUGUAAAGGGAGCGCAGACGGCAGCGAAAGUCUGAUGUGAAAUCCCGGGGCUCAACCCCGGAACUGCAUUGGAAACUGCGCAGCUCGAGUAUCGGAGAGGUAAGCGGAAUUCCUAGUGUAGCGGUGAAAUGCGUAGAUAUUAGGAGGAACACCGGUGGCGAAGGCGGCUUACUGGACGAAGACUGACGUUGAGGCUCGAAAGCGUGGGGAGCAAACAGG